rnacentral:tRNA from 1 species
ACCUGGAUGGCUCAGUGGGUUGAGCAUCUGACUUCAGCUCAGGUCAUGAUCUAACAGUUUGUGGGUUCGAGCCCCGCGUCGGGCU